GGGAGGCGGAAGUGCGACCAAGUUGCCGCGGCUUUGGCCUCCCCAGGUUUCCGUCUUUCUCAUCCACUACCCAACUCCGAAUGUGAAUGUUAUAAGCCUGAACAAAAUAAAUAUAACUAAACAAUUGUGAAGAGGUCCCAGAAAGCAUACAUCUGCUCCUCCAGCUCUUGUUCUGCUGAGCUGGUAUGAUUGGAGAAGGGCUCUGCUGAAGGCCAGAGAUCUCCAUGCACUGUGGGAGGAAACUUCUGGAAGGACAGAUGACGCAACGGACCACUGAUGUAGGGACAGAAACUUGGAAGUGCAGAAGAGUUCAAAUAGGGUUUUAACAAGUUUUUCUGUGUGAUAAGGAAUAUCAACAGUGCUUUUGCAAUUAGAUAAGCUUUACUGACAUCUGAGAACAGGUAGAGCAAGAACAAAAUGGGCUGGGCAUUUGAAUUACAGCACUUUUUAACUUUU